rnacentral:rRNA from 1 species
GACGAACGCUGGCGGCGUGCCUAAUACAUGCAAGUCGAGCGCAGGAAACUGACGGAACUCUUCGGAGGGAAGGCAGCGGAAUGAGCGGCGGACGGGUGAGUAACACGUAAGGAACCUGCCUCAAGGAUUGGGAUAACUCCGAGAAAUCGGAGCUAAUACCGGAUAGUUCAACGGACCGCAUGGUCCGCUGAUGAAAGGCGCUCCGGCGUCACCUUGAGAUGGCCUUGCGGUGCAUUAGCUAGUUGGGGGGGGAACGGCCCACCAAGGCGACGGUGCAUAGCCGACCUGAGAGGGUGAUCGGCCACACUGGGACUGAGACACGGCCCAGACUCCUACGGGAGGCAGCAGUAGGGAAUCUUCCACAAUGGACGAAAGUCUGAUGGAGCAACGCCGCGUGAGUGAUGAAGGUUUUCGGAUCGUAAAACUCUGUUGUAAGGGAAGAACACGUACGAGAGGGAAUGCUCGUACCUUGACGGUACCUUACGAGAAAGCCACGGCUAACUACGUGCCAGCCGCCGCCGUAACAC